rnacentral:tRNA from 1 species
GCAGCUGUGGCCUACUGGUUAGCGCUUCGGACUUUUAACCGGAGGGUUGCCGGUUCGAACCCCGACCAGUAGGCA